AUGCAGAGGGAUAAAGCAGUAGCAGGUGGUUUGAGAAUUAUUAAAGGUGAUGUUGUGAAGUGGUCAUUGAGAAGUUGCAGAAGAUUGGUGCAAGAGGAAACCGUGCAUUGGAGGUCGGAGUUGAUAAAGGUUCAUAGAAAGAGGGGAGUUCCUGAUUUUUUUGUGAAGUUUCUAUUAUGA